rnacentral:misc_RNA from 1 species
AACUAUCAACCAAAUUAUUUUAUUUGGAUUGGAUUUGGGAUUUGCUGGCUUUUGGUAGUUAGCUUUCCUUAAAAGCAUUAGCAUUCCAUGCACGGCCUCUGACGUGAUAAUGAUCGUUGUGGGCUGGAAGUGGAUUUGUUACUUUUAUGUGUGGCAUGGCCUUGUAAUGAGGCUGGAAGCACAACUGGAGUGUAAUUAUGAAGCUUGAAGUGCUAGUCUUGCGUGCACGGCCUUGUAGUGAGGCUGGAGCGCAUCUCGAAGCUUCUAGUGUUAGUCUUUACAUGACAAUUAAC